rnacentral:rRNA from 1 species
CAGCCGCCACGGUAAUACGUAGGUGGCAAGCGUUGUCCGGAUUUAUUGGGCGUAAAGCGAGCGCAGGCGGUCAAUUAAGUCUGAUGUGAAAGCCCCCGGCUCAACCGGGGAGGGUCAUUGGAAACUGGUUGACUUGAGUGCAGAAGAGGAGGGUGGAAUUCCAUGUGUAGCGGUGAAAUGCGUAGAUAUAUGGAGGAACACCAGUGGCGAAGGCGACUCUCUGGUCUGUAACUGACGCUGAGGCUCGAAAGCGCGGGUAGCAAACAGGAUUAGAUACCCGCGUAGUCCCUGUCUCUUAUAC